ACGAACGCUGGCUGCGUGCUUAACACAUGCAAGUCGAACGCUGAAGCUCUGGUGCUUGCACCGGGGUGGAUGAGUGGCGAACGGGUGAGUAACAUGUGAGUAACCUGCCCCCGACUUCGGGAUAAGCCUGGGAAACUGGGUCUAAUACCGGAUAUGACCAUGACUCGCAUGAGUGAUGGUGGAAAGUUUUUUCGGUUGGGGAUGGGCUCGCGGCCUAUCAGUUUGUUGGUGAGGUAAUGGCUCACCAAGACGACGACGGGUAGCCGGCCUGAGAGGGCGACCGGCCACACUGGGACUGAGACACGGACCAGACUCCUACGGGAGGCAGCAGUGGGGAAUAUUGCACAAUGGGGGAAACCCUGAUGCAGCGACGCAGCGUGCGGGAUGACGGCCUUCGGGUUGUAAACCGCUUUCAGCAGGGAAGAAGCCUUUCGGGGUGACGGUACCUGCAGAAGAAGUACCGGCUAACUACGU
rnacentral:rRNA from 1 species